AUGGUAAAAGAUAACAAUUUGAUUGUGGAUAAGACCGCCUGGAUUGCGGAAGCAUUGACAGGACGUAAACUCAAGCUGAUUACGCGACCCCGUCGCUUUGGCAAGUCAACCAACUUGUCAAUGCUCAGGGCAUUCUUGACGAAGGACCAAAAUAUAGAAUCACUGGACUUAUCUGCAGGUUUUACCAUCGGGAACGAUACUAAGUUCGAAAGAAUCAGGAGGAUGCACCAGCAUAAGUAUGCGGUGUUUCAUUUUUCUUUUUUACAUCGUGGCCCCGCCUCAACAGCUUCGGAUGUGCAAUACAAGUUGACUGCAUGCAUAAGAGGGAUUGGGAUUCUGACUGAUUAUUUUGAUUUGUACCAUCGGCACUUUCAGCCUCGUGUAGAAGAACACUUAGCUAGCAUAGUCAAUGGGCACGGAAACUUUACGGAUAUUCUACAGGGAUUUAAACAAUUGAUAAGGGUACUUCGAGAUAGCGGUUGCGGUUACAAAACAGCCAUACUUAUUCAUGAAUAUGACGCGCCAUCUCAAAAUGCAAUUGAAAAAGAAAUCUCAACAACCGAUGCAGGGAAGAAUUUCGUUUUUGGUGAAUUGUACCAAAAAACUGUAGACAUGAUGAGAGAAUUUUACAUUUUCUUCUUAAGGGGCGGUUUAGACUUCUUUCCUGAUUGUGGUGUGAUCAUCGGCAUUAGUUAUGUGGCAAAAACCAGUAUAUUUUCUGAUCUUACAAAUUUCAAAGCCUACACGACCCUUAAAGAUGAUAAAUUCGGACCCUACUUUGGUUUCAUGGAACACGAAGUGAAAUGGCUUAUUGAUUCCUUAGAGACAAACUUGUCGUAUAAGGAAUUUCAAGAGUGGUAUGACGGGUACAACUUUGGUAAUUAUGUCAUAUUCAACCCGUUCGCUGUUGUGUCAGCAUUUUAUAAUAUCGCAAAAGAUGCUUUUGAAGGGAAAGGUGAAAAGCGAGACACUGGUCCAAGAAGAGGAUCACAUUUUAUUGAUAAGCUAACAAGUGCCUAA
rnacentral:lncRNA from 1 species